CCAUUUUUGAUGCUGGAUAAAAACUAUUGGAACAAUACACAGAAGAUUAGCAUGGCUCUUACACAAGGAUGACAUGCAAAUUCACGAAGAACAUGUGACAAAU